AGGAGGAGGAGGGUCGGUAUUAGGUUAUAAGGCAGGUUGAUAAACAACUGGUUAGGGAUGGCAUCGAUGCUGGGAGGAGGAGGAGGGUCGGUAUUAGGUUAUAAGGCAGGUUGAUAAACAACUGGUUAGGGAUGGCAUCGAUGCUGGGAGGAGGAGGAGGGUCGGUAUUAGGUUAUAAGGCAGGUUGAUAAACAACUGGUUAGGGAUGGCAUCGAUGCUGGGAGGAGGAGGAGGGUCGGUAUUAGGUUAUAAGGCAGGUUGAUAAACAACUGGUUAGGGAUGGCAUCGAUGCUGGGAGGAGGAGGAGGGUCGGUAUUAG